GGGGAUUUAGCUUAGCGGCAUAAGCGCCUGCCUUGAAGGCAGGCAGUCAUGAGUUCAAUCGCCA
rfam:Cavia porcellus supercont2_100 genomic scaffold, whole genome shotgun sequence.